UCAAUUAAUUCUUUCAUUAAACUAUGUUUUGAAUUACUACACCAUGUAACACACCAACACCCCAAAUAACAGAUGUAAUCACAUGACAACAAAAUUAUAAAAAAAACAGUGAUAUGCCUAAAAAGAAACCUUUUUUGCUCAAAUACAUAAGCACUGUUCCUCUCUUAAAGCACCAUGAUGGCUCACUUAUUUGAUGCCUUGCUAACUUUUGAUUUUUUUUUCAGCAUAUAAAACUACUCUAAGUUAAUAACUUUAUGCAAAUUCUACAAUCAAAAUCAAAAUGCUAGUUUACGGUACAUACAUCGUAAAUACCUAACACAACUUAUAGAUCUAAUAACUUGACAAGGAAAUAAUGAAACUAGAACUAUUACAUCACAUAUAUUCAAUACAUGUAUCAAAUAGUCAAAAGGAGCACAGCAUAUUCAUGGCAUGAAACAGAUCAUAGAAGCUCGAAUUAUCUCAUUCUCAUUCUCAUUCAUCAUUGAAUCGAGAAUUAUAACAUCAAUUGAGGGAGUUACCUGAAAUGUAGAAACACCAAAAUACAGCAGAAUGAAUGAAAUUCCAGCACAAAUGACAACCAAAAACAGCAACAACCAGCAGCAAAUCGGUAACUUUUGACCCGAGAAACAACCCAGAAAAGACCCUUAAACUUAGUAACUUUUAAAGAAGAAGGAUCCCAGCAAUCAACUACAACACUCUUAUACUUUUGAAAGGUCUUGCUCACAGAGAAUUCACUCACAAAAGCUCACUACUUUCAGCUUACUACUAAGUAUUCAAAUGCUAUUUUUUACUCUCUAAGUAUUUGUGUGUUCAUUUAGAGUAAAAGAUGUUUUCUAAGUGUGAUAGAGUGUGUCUAAAGUGAGGAAAUGGCAGCCCUUAAGUAGGCCAAGAAAGUCACUUUUGGACAGAUUUUGGUUCACCAAAAGUCUGUUAAAAAAGAACUGACUUUGUGUGCUAAACACUGUUCAAAGGCUGUCCAAAAGGUGAAAGGACAGCCUGAAAAUCUGUUACGUCAGAAGCAAGGAAAAAAAUAUCAUUUCGGCCACCCUAAUAGUAAAAAGUAAGCCACUAGUACCCUAGGUCAUGAUCAAACCCAUCUAAACUUCAAAUUUUAACAACAUCAAUGCCACCCUAUUGAUUUUGAACCAAAUCAAACUCAAACAACUAAGAAUUGACAAAACAGAAACAAAGACUUCAAAUGGAACUAAAACUCAAACUAACUAGAUUAAAACAAAUUGAUUUGUACAAACUAAACAUAGAACAAACAACUGAAUUCACAAACUAAUUCUAAAAAUAGAACGUGGAUCGUUAACAAUCAGACGACGACGUACAACAGCUAAACAAUUGAUUAACUAAGUAAACGAUUUAACUAAUAUACUAAAGAUUACGUUUAAUUAAUAACAGUCUAACAAACAACUAAACUAAAUAGAUAUAACUAAUUAAAUAAACCUAACUUGAAACUCUAAUUAACAACAAACAACCAAAACAAAAAAAUUAAAAUUCAGAAACUAACCUACUAAUAAUAAAAAAACCUAGAAAUUAAUUAAAGACAUGACAAUUAUACCUAACGAGCGUGCUUGAUACUGUUCGAGCCAUGAGAAGACGCGUGAGAUGCCAAGAGGCGGCUGUCCUACCCCGAUACACAAAUUGGCUUUUAGCAAACACCCAAAAUAUGUAAGUUUUGGCAUCAUACUAGAAGGGAACAUGAGUCUUUGGGUCGAGUGGGCUAAACAAUGAGGUAGUGGUGGCUUUGGGUGGUCGCUGGCCGGCGGAGGACGAGUUUUGGGGGAAAAUUAGUGAUCUUGGGUCGUGAAAUUGAGUAGAGGAGAGUGGGGGUGUAAACGUUUCCGAGUUUGGGGGUGGUGAGCGACAACUAGGGUUUUGGUUAGGCUUAGAUUUAUAGAGAUUGAGAGUGGUUAUGGGGAUUUGGGGUUAGGAUUAGUGUAGAGGAUGAAGAGAGGAAGAGAAUGGUAUAAAUUUUGUGGUGUUUGGGCGACGGUCACCGCCAGUGGGCAAUUUCCGGCGGCGGAGCUGGCAGAGAGGGGAAAGAGAAUAGAGAGGAAGAAGAAAGGGGGAGAGGAGAAGAGAAAAUAAGGGGAACAC
rnacentral:lncRNA from 1 species